AGCACAUGAAGUUUGGAUGGACAUAUUUAGCCUCUUCUGGUUUCCUUACUAUAGAUGAAGCCCAGUGGGAGGAUAGCAAACUCCAGGACUCUAGACUCUAAAAACUCAGCAGAGGUGAUAGCUGACUGACUAUUAUUUGAUGACAACUGCCUCUGUAGACUUCUUGGCAAGUUCCUCCCUGGAAGCCUUCCACCAGAGACUAAAAAAAAGGAGGAAAGGUAUUUUAUGAGUCUUUGCACCUCUGGAAGAGUGUUAAUGGAUAAAUAUAAAGCUGACAAAUGAAGGAAAAGCAAC